UACGUAGGGGGCCAGCGUUGUCCGGAAUCAUUGGGCGUAAAGCGCGCGUAGGCGGUCAGGUAAGUCCGGUGUGAAAGUCAAAGGCUCAACCUUUGAAUGCCGCUGGAUACUGCUUGACUUGAGUCCGGAAGAGGCGAGUGGAACUCCUGGUGUAGCGGUGGAAUGCGCAGAUAUCAGGAAGAACACCAACGGCGAAGGCAGCUCGCUGGGACGGUACUGACGCUGAGACGCGAAAGCGUGGGGAGCGAACAGG
rnacentral:rRNA from 1 species